rnacentral:rRNA from 1 species
CCCUUAGAGUUUGAUCCUGGCUCAGAAUCAACGCUGGCGGCGUGCCUCAGACAUGCAAGUCGAACGAUUAAAGCCCUCUUCGGAGGGUGCAUAAAGUGGCGCACGGGUGAGUAACACGUAAGUAAUCUACCUUCGAGUGGGGAAUAACGUUCGGAAACGGACGCUAAUACCGCAUAAUGCAGCGGCAUCGCGAGAUGACAGUUGUUAAAGAUUUAUCGCUUGAAGAGGAGCUUGCGGCAGAUUAGCUAGUUGGUAAGGUAACGGCUUACCAAGGCGACGAUCUGUAUCCGGUCUAAGAGGACGGUCGGACACACUGACACUGAAUAACGGGUCAGACUCCUACGGGAGGCAGCAGUCGGGAAUUUUGGGCAAUGGGCGAAAGCCUGACCCAGCAACGCCGCGUGAAGGAUGAAGUUUUUCGGAAUGUAAACUUCGUAAGAAUAGGAAGAAUAAAUGACGGUACUAUUUGUAAGGUCCGGCUAACUACGUGCCAGCAGCCGCGGUAAUACGUAGGGACCAAGCGUUGUUCGGAUUUACUGGGCGUAAAGGGCGCGUAGGCGGCAAUUCAAGUCAGCUGUGAAAUCUCCGGGCUUAACUCGGAACGGUCAGCUGAUACUGCUUUGCUAGAGUGCAGAAGGGGCAAUCGGAAUUCUUGGUGUAGCGGUGAAAUGCGUAGAUAUCAAGAGGAACACCUGAGGUGAAGACGGGUUGCUGGGCUGACACUGACGCUGAGGCGCGAAAGCUAUGGUAGCAAACGGGAUUAGAUACCCCGGGUAGUCCUAGCCCUAAACG